AGAAGACUGUACCUUCUUGCUGAUAUAUUUGAGCCAAUAUAAUUCAGUCCUUAUACUAGCUCAAAUAACAAAUGGGUCACUCCACUGCUGAAGAAGAGACCUAGAACAUACUAAGAUUUAAGGACUCAUCUCCACUCCCACUGUUUUCUUCUACAAUGCCGGACUUGCUGCUGUAAUUACUGUAACAGCUGUCUGUGUCACAAGUGGUUUCUGUUUUCUGAGCCAAAAGCUUGUAUGUUUUUGAAGUAUCUGUUGCUAUGAGAAGAGGCUUUAUGUCUUCAUAAAAGAUAUGCUCGAUGGUUCCUGAAACAUUUGACUGGGAGAACAUCUGUGUUGAUAUUAUUAGGAAGAGGAAGAUAUUUCACUUCUUAUACCACAAAU